rnacentral:rRNA from 1 species
AACGAACGCUGGCGGCAUGCCUAACACAUGCAAGUCGAACGAGACCUUCGGGUCUAGUGGCGCACGGGUGCGUAACGCGUGGGAACCUGCCCUUAGGUUCGGAAUAACUCCCCGAAAGGGGUUCUAAUACCGGAUAAUGUCUUCGGACCAAAGAUUUAUCGCCUUUGGAUGGGCCCGCGUUGGAUUAGCUAGUUGGUAGGGUAAAAGCCUACCAAGGCGACGAUCCAUAGCUGGUCUGAGAGGAUGAUCAGCCACACUGGGACUGAGACACGGCCCAGACUCCUACGGGAGGCAGCAGUGGGGAAUAUUGGACAAUGGGCGAAAGCCUGAUCCAGCAAGGCCGCGUGAGUGAUGAAGGCCUUAGGGUUGUAAAGCUCUUUUACCCGGGAUGAUAAUGACAGUACCGGGAGAAUAAGCUCCGGCUAACUCCGUG